CCCGCGGCAAGACGGAAAGACCCCGUGAACCUUUACUAUAGCUUGACACUGAACAUUGAGCCUUGAUGUGUAGGAUAGGUGGGAGGCUUUGAAGCGUGGACGCCAGUCUGCGUGGAGCCGACCUUGAAAUACCACCCUUUAAUGUUUGAUGUUCUAACGUGGACCCGUAAUCCGGGUUGCGGACAGUGUCUGGUGGGUAGUUUGACUGGGGCGGUCUCCUCCUAAAGAGUAACGGAGGAGCACGAAGGUUGGCUAAUCCUGGUCGGACAUCAGGAGGUUAGUGCAAUGGCAUAAGCCAGCUUGACUGCGAGCGUGACGGCGCGAGCAGGUGCGAAAGCAGGUCAUAGUGAUCCGGUGGUUCUGAAUGGAAGGGCCAUCGCUCAACGGAUAAAAGGUACUCCGGGGAUAACAGGCUGAUACCGCCCAAGAGUUCAUAUCGACGGCGGUGUUUGGCACCUCGAUGUCGGCUCAUCACAUCCUGGGGCUGAAGUAGGUCCCAAGGGUAUGGCUGUUCGCCAUUUAAAGUGGUACGCGAGCUGGGUUUAGAACGUCGUGAGACAGUUCGGUCCCUAUCUGCCGUGGGCGCUGGAGAACUGAGGGGGGCUGCUCCUAGUACGAGAGGACCGGAGUGGACGCAUCACUGGUGUUCGGGUUGUCAUGCCAAUGGCACUGCCCGGUAGCUAAAUGCGGAAGAGAUAAGUGCUGAAAGCAUCUAAGCACGAAACUUGCCCCGAGAUGAGUUCUCCCUGAGACUUAGAGUCUCCUGAAGGAACGUUGAAGACGACGACGUUGAUAGGCCGGGUGUGUAAGCGCAGCGAUGCGUUGAGCUAACCGGUACUAAUGAACCGUGAGGCUUAACCUU
rnacentral:rRNA from 1 species